GUACACGCUGUGACUAGCAUAUCAAUAAGCGGAGGAAAAGAAACUAACAAGGAUUCCCCUAGUAACGGCGAGUGAAGCGGGAAGAGCUCAAAUUUGAAAUCUUAAAGGGUUUCCCUUUACGAAUUGUAGUUUAAAGAAGUGUUUUCUGUUGAGGUUUUGGUAAAAGUUCUUUGGAAUAGGACAUCAUAGAGGGUGAGAAUCCCGUAUUUGACCUUUACUUUCAACUUUGUGAUACACUUUCAAAGAGUCGGAUUGUUUGGGAAUGCAGUCCAAAAUGGGUGGUAAAUUUCAUCUAAAGCUAAAUAUUGGCGAGAGACCGAUAGCGAACAAGUACCGUGAGGGAAAGAUGAAAAGAACUUUGAAAAGAGAGUUAAGCAGUACGUGGAAUUGUCAAAAGGGAAGCGUUUGACACCAGUGUUGUUUUUCUGAAAAUCAAUUAAAGAACUGUCUAUGCUAAGUUGUUUAGACUUUAUCAGCUAACUGUUUAGUUUUGAGCUUUUCUUUAAUGCACUUUUCAGUUAACAAGUCAACAUCAAUUUCUUUUGCUGUAAAAAAGCUUGAGGAAGGUGGCUUGAGAUUCGUCUUAAGUGUUUAUAGCCUCUUGCCUAUGCAGUCGGAGAGAUUGAGGUCUGCAGCGUAGAUCCUUCGGGGCUAAAUGCAUUUGUGCUAAGUUAUAGCAUUUUAUAGACAACUUGUUGACUAUGAUUUGUCUUGUAGCUUACUCGCUUAUGUUAUUUUACCUACGCUUAGGAUGUUGAAGAUGUAGCACAUCAU
rnacentral:rRNA from 1 species